rnacentral:piRNA from 1 species
UGAGCAAUCUGUGUUACCUCCAUACA